rnacentral:rRNA from 1 species
CUGAACAUUGAGCCUUGAUGUGUAGGAUAGGUGGGAGGCUUUGAAGCGUGGACGCCAGUCUGCGUGGAGCCAACCUUGAAAUACCACCCUUUAAUGUUUGAUGUUCUAACGUUGGCCCCUGACCGGGGUUGCGGACAGUGUCUGGUGGGUAGUUUGACUGGGGCGGUCUCCUCCCAAAGCGUAACGGAGGAGCACGAAGGUUAGCUAAUCCUGGUCGGACAUCAGGAGGUUAGUGCAAUGGCAUAAGCUAGCUUGACUGCGAGCGUGACGGCGCGAGCAGGUGCGAAAGCAGGUCAUAGUGAUCCGGUGGUUCUGAAUGGAAGGGCCAUCGCUCAACGGAUAAAAGGUACUCCGGGGAUAACAGGCUGAUACCGCCCAAGAGUUCAUAUCGACGGCGGUGUUUGGCACCUCGAUGUCGGCUCAUCACAUCCUGGGGCUGAAGUAGGUCCCAAGGGUAUGGCUGUUCGCCAUUUAAAGUGGUACGCGAGCUGGGUUUAGAACGUCGUGAGACAGUUCGGUCCCUAUCUGCCGUGGGCGCUGGAGAAUUGAGGGGGGCUGCUCCUAGUACGAGAGGACCGGAGUGGACGCAUCACUGGUGUUCGGGUUGUCAUGCCAAUGGCACUGCCCGGUAGCUAAAUGCGGAAGAGAUAAGUGCUGAAAGCAUCUAAGCACGAAACUUGCCCCG